rnacentral:lncRNA from 1 species
GGGGCCGCGCUGCGCGUGCGCGCUUCCCGCGGCCAAGGGUCUCUGGCUUGCCGGGCGGGGGCGGGGCCUGGGCCGGGGCAAAGCUUUGGGGCCUCUUGCUGCCUCGCAAGGCUGGGCGGGAUUCACGGACCCCAGCAGGUGCAGUAUGGUGGCCUUGGCGGGUAGCUCCGGAGCGGCCUAGCUCUGGCCCGGUCGGCGGCGGUGGGGCUGCCCGAGAGGCGCGGCCUGCGGGCUCCCGCCCCUGAAAUUCGCGACGCCCGCGGUGGUCAUUUCGGGUUCCACUCCCUAGACUCCUAGUAUGACACUCUGGUAGGAAGCAGGUUCUUGUUUUCAGGCCAUCACCACUUUACUGAGGCCGAUCGUUGUUGCGGGAGGGGGUUAAGGGAGGUCCACCCGAACGAACCGUGGGUCAGGGAGGGGACAUCCUGGAGCUGCGGAGGCCACCGCGGCCGUGCGGCGGGUAGGUGAGCCGGCAGCCAGGGGACCCUAUGGAGAAGAUGUCGAAUAACUGCCUCCGUUUAGGAGCGGUAUUACGUGGAGGGGCCAGGGGGCCUUCCGGACUGCUGGGAACUUGCCCUGACCGGACUUGGGUUACACGGGCGUGCGUAUGAACCAGCUGCCCUCCUAAGAUCAAUGUAUGUCACUGUGGAUGCAUCUGUAUAUAACCUUGAUUGGUUAAAUGCAGAACAAAAUAAUCGGGUAUUGGAGGUCAGAGUAGUGGUCACCUUUGGAGAUUGCUGGCUUUUGGUCCCCUGACCAGGGAAGCCCAGCUGUUGUGUUCUCAGGCACCCAUGAGGGUCUGCUGUAUGUUUAACAAUAAACUUUUAUUUGGGCUGGCUCCAGUGAAUUUCUGAUCUUUGCAAUCAAAACACCAACCCCAGGAAUAAGCUAACCUAUCCUCAGCACUCCAGAAUGUACACACAACCUAGUUACUUCAAGCCACAAUCAAUGACUUUGUUCAGAAAUUAGAAUGUUCAGUCCUAGAGUUAAGCCUCUGAAGUUUAUUUGACUUUAGCUCUAUCCUUGGGCCCCUUAGAGCCUAAGAUGAGCAAUGGCAAGAGGACACAGUGCCUGGCACCCUCCUUGUUGUUUUUUUUUCCCCCAGUCUCAGGUAUGCUCAACCGGCUCCUGCUGGUCUGAAACUGUCAGGGAGAGGGAAUGGGGAAGUUUGGGAAGAACUAUGGUUCUAUCUCUGGACUAGUGUUAGAGUCUGUAAACAAGUCAAAAUAACACCUGGCAUUUAGCCAGGGGAAUGUUAGAGUUGGUAAACAAGUCUGGAUGGUGCCUGGCAAAAUGCCAGAGGGAGUGGUUUGUGAAGUAACACCAGCAAGCCAUUAAGUGUGGAGAUUCCUGAUUGGUUGACUGAUGUAUCUAGUUUAUGCUAAUUAGAUAAGCUGUGUGG